GGCUGGUCUGAUGGUAGUGGGUUAUCAGAACUUACUAACAUUAGUGCCACUAAAGUUGAUAUACACAUCCCCCACACUGCUAAAUUUGACUGGCUUAAA
rnacentral:Y_RNA from 1 species